AUUGAAGAGUUUGAUCAUGGCUCAGAUUGAACGCUGGCGGCAGGCCUAACACAUGCAAGUCGAACGGUAACAGGAAGCAGCUUGCUGCUUUGCUGACGAGUGGCGGACGGGUGAGUAAUGUCUGGGAAACUGCCUGAUGGAGGGGGAUAACUACUGGAAACGGUAGCUAAUACCGCAUAACGUCGCAAGACCAAAGAGGGGGACCUUAGGGCCUCUUGCCAUCGGAUGUGCCCAGAUGGGAUUAGCUAGUAGGUGGGGUAACGGCUCACCUAGGCGACGAUCCCUAGCUGGUCUGAGAGGAUGACCAGCCACACUGGAACUGAGACACGGUCCAGACUCCUACGGGAGGCAGCAGUGGGGAAUAUUGCACAAUGGGCGCAAGCCUGAUGCAGCCAUGCCGCGUGUAUGAAGAAGGCCUUCGGGUUGUAAAGUACUUUCAGCGGGGAGGAAGGGAGUAAAGUUAAUACCUUUGCUCAUUGACGUUACCCGCAGAAGAAGCACCGGCUAACUCCGUGCCAGCAGCCGCGGUAAUACGGAGGGUGCAAGCGUUAAUCGGAAUUACUGGGCGUAAAGCGCACGCAGGCGGUUUGUUAAGUCAGAUGUGAAAUCCCCGGGCUCAACCUGGGAACUGCAUCUGAUACUGGCAAGCUUGAGUCUCGUAGAGGGGGGUAGAAUUCCAGGUGUAGCGGUGAAAUGCGUAGAGAUCUGGAGGAAUACCGGUGGCGAAGGCGGCCCCCUGGACGAAGACUGACGCUCAGGUGCGAAAGCGUGGGGAGCAAACAGGAUUAGAUACCCUGGUAGUCCACGCCGUAAACGAUGUCGACUUGGAGGUUGUGCCCUUGAGGCGUGGCUUCCGGAGCUAACGCGUUAAGUCGACCGCCUGGGGAGUACGGCCGCAAGGUUAAAACUCAAAUGAAUUGACGGGGGCCCGCACAAGCGGUGGAGCAUGUGGUUUAAUUCGAUGCAACGCGAAGAACCUUACCUGGUCUUGACAUCCACGGAAGUUUUCAGAGAUGAGAAUGUGCCUUCGGGAACCGUGAGACAGGUGCUGCAUGGCUGUCGUCAGCUCGUGUUGUGAAAUGUUGGGUUAAGUCCCGCAACGAGCGCAACCCUUAUCCUUUGUUGCCAGCGGUCCGGCCGGGAACUCAAAGGAGACUGCCAGUGAUAAACUGGAGGAAGGUGGGGAUGACGUCAAGUCAUCAUGGCCCUUACGACCAGGGCUACACACGUGCUACAAUGGCGCAUACAAAGAGAAGCGACCUCGCGAGAGCAAGCGGACCUCAUAAAGUGCGUCGUAGUCCGGAUUGGAGUCUGCAACUCGACUCCAUGAAGUCGGAAUCGCUAGUAAUCGUGGAUCAGAAUGCCACGGUGAAUACGUUCCCGGGCCUUGUACACACCGCCCGUCACACCAUGGGAGUGGGUUGCAAAAGAAGUAGGUAGCUUAACCUUCGGGAGGGCGCUUACCACUUUGUGAUUCAUGACUGGGGUGAAGUCGUAACAAGGUAACCGUAGGGGAACCUGCGGUUGGAUCACCUCCU
rnacentral:rRNA from 1 species